rnacentral:misc_RNA from 1 species
AAUCACACGCACCCACUCACAUUUCUGCACCCCGUAUAGUGAGCAACCAACAGCCAGGCACUUCCGUUGACAGCCUCUCCCAGCAUCUCCCCAUCUCUCUGCCCAGCGUCAUAUUCCCCCUACUGCUCGAGUGCUACGCCGUCACUUGCACACGCACGCUUUUCCACGCACGCGAGCGGUACAACUUGCGUGUUCGCAAUCACACGCACCCAUCCACCCGUCAUCGACCACUGCUGAGCGGCUGCACCAGCAAGCAGUAGGCAUGCCCGCGCCUAUCCGAGCCACCUUUGCCGCCGGCUGCUACUGGGGAACUGAGCACUUCUUCGUGCGGAAUUUCAAGGAUAGCAUUGUGUCGCACCAGGUCGGCUUCAUGGGCGGCGUGGAGGGGAAGGCAGUAACCUACCCUGAAGUCACGAAGGGCACCACGGGCCACGCAGAGGUCUUGGACUUAAUGUACGACCCCGAGAAGGUGUCGUACAAGGAUCUGCUCUCCUUCUUCUUCCGCAUGCACAACUCCACGACGCUGAACCGGCAGGCGGGCGACAUCGGUACCAACUACCGCAGUGCCAUCUUCUACCACAACGAAGAGCAAAAGAAGGAGGCGGAGGCCUAUAUCGCCAAGCUGAACGGUGCCGACGAGAAGCUUCACUCCUCCUUUAGCAAAGCCUUUGGCGGAGCCCCCUGCAUCACCAGCCUGGAGAAGGCUGGUACGUUUUACCCAGCGCAUGAGGGACACCAGAACUACCUCGAGAAGCACCCGAAUGGCUACUGCUCGCACCGCUUGUACUUUUAGGCUCCCUCGGUUGUCUGCACAUGCGCAUGUGUGUGUUGCAAGCGGACCGCUGCAGUCACCUCCCUGUCCUCCGCAGAGGGCAGCGGCUGAGCACCGUCUGUCUAGUAACGGAGCGUGCCGCGGAUACGGGAGACGCUUGUGCAGCAUACUCCUAUUACGACUCCUAUUGCUCAUCACAACCAUCACUGCCACGCUUGCUUCGCUAGUUUUCUGUUUUCUUCUUUCAUAUUGGCCGCUUUCUUCCCUCUCAGUGCAGCCCUCACUGUAUUGCCAGCGCGUGUGCCAGACACGUCGGGGCAUGGGGCACAGGGCGUUUCUCGUCUCUCUACGCGUCUGCCUCCGCCUUGCUUCAUCUUGCCGUUUCUUUGGUUUCUAAUGCAACGCUCCGCUGCUCGUUUGCCCGCAUGAUAAAAAGAGGGGGAGAGGGGAUGCGCACCUCUGAGUAUGACAUCGCAGGGUCCAGCCCCCCAUCGCCCUGUGUGGAGACGCCAAGCAGUCGCCCCCCUCCCCCUAUUCCUGCCCAUGCCGAGCCACUUGUGGGUGGUAGCAGGGCCAAGCACCGACGACGACGCCGGGGAGGCCAGGGCGAUGCACCGCUACUUGUGCCCAGCGGUUAGACCCUGGACGGCGUGGCGUCGGAGCGACCUGCGACAGUGAACACACCCGUGCCAUCCAUGCGAUAGGCCGCGUGCCAGCGCGACUCGGACGUAUGUCACCCUCGGCCUUCGCACCGCCUACUGGUGCGGGGAGAGCCCGCGUGUCACACCCCGAGGGGGUUGGGAGGGUGGGGAAUGCGCCAGGGGUGGCGACCCGCGAGGCGGGGGUUUGUGAGCGGGUAGCGUGUGAGGCCCAGGCCCUGCUCAGGUAACUGAGUCGGCGCGGUGCUGCAACUCGCGUGUGUGUGCGGCCGCUUCGCACGACGCGGAUGGUGGGGGGCCCGUGACGGGCUCUUGUGGUGGAGCGGCGCUCCGCUCAUGCUGUAGGGCAGCGCGUGGAUGCGAUCAAACUGGUUUCGUUUCAUUUCAUGUGUACGUCAUAUAUGCUCACUGUGAAUCCCCCUCCCCCCAGUGUGGCCUUCCCCGCGCCUGCUCCCCGUUGAGCGAGAACUAACCACAUAUCAGCCCAUAAACAAGUUGUUUCCUGUGAUGCGUGCUGGUGGGCACUGCGGCGGGGCUUGACUUUCGUACGUUGCCCCCCUGCUACACUCAUCAGCCGUCGCUGUGCAGGUGCAGGCGUGCCAUCACUAUCUUGUGUCUUGCCUUUUAUUCCUCAUUGAGUGGUAAUCUAUGGUGAACUGCAGCUGUCGACGCUUACCUUCCCUACCAUCUCUCUCUCCCUUACGCCGUCGCACGCUCUCCUCUGAUUGCAUUUGAGCGCCUCGUGCAUAUGGGCUCACAUGUGGGUGCGGUGAUGGUAGAGACGGCGUCCGAAACCGGGGUAGGAAUGUGGGUGGGUGGGAAGCUGAGGGGCCAGAGGCGUGCUCGCCCCCACAAGACGGGGUAAUCCUGAAGUGGCAGGAGAGGCGGGCACCGCGUCACAUAGCGUAACAGCAAGCCGCAGCUACGAGCUAAAGUGAGUGGCUCCUUCCCGUCAAUCUG